GAAGGCUCCCAGCCCCUGAACCUGAAGCCUGCGAUUUCGAUGUGCUGAGUCAGAGCCCGCUCAGGGUCAGACACUUUCACCCCGGAAGAGCCCCGCGGAGCACCACGGCGAGGGCAGCGGCUGGUCCGGUGCUGUCUGAAUAUGGAUGAGAAGACUCCAGAGGAGACAGGGCAUAUUUAUGCGCUAAUGUAUUUCUACGUUUAAGCUAGCGUUUAGCGACUUCUAGCUGAGCAGAAAUCGUCUUUCUGGUUGGUUACACUGCUUCCCUGGACUCCGUGUGGGUUUUUUUCCUGGAGAGGUUCUGACCCAUUCUCAGUGGAGGCACGGCAGCUGUUUCUUUCAACCCAUUGGAAGAGAUGGUGUUGCAGAGCCGUGGGAAGGCUGCGACCUACCAAGGAAUUGAAAAUGUGUCUGACAUUGCUAUAGCUAUGAUGCUUCCAUUCCUUCCUGUGUUCUUUAGGGGAGAGCUCCUCAGUGCUGACGUCUAUGUUUCAACCUCAGACAGGAUGGGCUGGGGGUGGGCCAACAACUUGCUCAACAUUCUUUUGAGUCUGACUGGCUGGUGAAGUGUGAACGGAGCUCCUGAAUCGCUUGGGGAGGACUGAGGAAGCGCUUUUAAGGUAAAAUAUUCUUUCCUGGCGUUUAUUCUUGAGGAGGAUGUUGCUGGAAGUCAUGAGCCAAUCCGCUUCACAUCUGACGUGGGGCGGAGGAGCUGCCUCGUUCUGGCUGCUGCGGAGUGGAAAUGGGUCCAAAUGUGCACAACUGCUGGGUUCAGGUAGAGCUGGUCCAGUGUGCCCUGAAGGGUCCUGGCCCUGGAAGGACCCAGGAAAACUGCAGUGAGCCUUCAAUGAUACUCCAGCUUCCUCGGAUUUGUGUCUUUAUUUUUACAAGCUUAUGAAAUGCUAUCGACUAGAACUGAAGCAACGGAAAGAGAAGAAAGGAAGUAUUUGGUAAUACGAAGAGAACCCCAUGGCUGGGCUGAAACAUCUUGCAUUAGUCAGCACUGCUGUGGGAAGCCAAAGACUGUGAAAAGAUAAAUUUUUACAUUUCUUACGUAUUCAGAGACAUACGCUGCCCUUUUCAAGAUCCCAUUGCACAUGGCGAGGGAGUUGUUAGGGAACGGACUCUCUCCUCUGGAUGUCCCCAGUGUGUGUAUUUCUGGUUAAGUUUUUAUGCUAAAGCUUUGAGGAACUAACUUUGUUAUCAUUCAUGUAGCCAGGAAGGGAUGCCGUUCUAAAUAGAUGUGUUUGAAGAUCCACCAUCA